rnacentral:rRNA from 1 species
GACGAACGCUGGCGGCGUGCUUAACACAUGCAAGUCGAACGGAAAGGCCCUGCUUUUAUGGUGUGCUCGAGUGGCGAACGGGUGAGUAACACGUGAGUAACCUGCCCUUGACUUUGGGAUAACUUCAGGAAACUGGGGCUAAUACCGUAUAGGAGCUCCUGCUGCAUGGUGGGGGUUGGAAAGUUUCGGCGGUUGGGGAUGGACUCGCGGCUUAUCAGCUUGUUGGUUGGGUAGUGGCUUACCAAGGCUUUGACGGGUAGCCGGCCUGAGAGGGUGACCGGCCACAUUGGGACUGAGAUACGGACCAGACUCCUACGGGAGGCAGCAGUGGGGAAUAUUGCACAAUGGGCGGAAGCCUGAUGCAGAAACGCCGCGUGCGGGAUGACGGCUUUCGGGUUGUAAACCGCUUUAGCCUGUGACGAGGCGUGAGUGACGGUAAUGGGUAAAGAAGCACCGGCUAACUACGUG